GACGAACGCUGGCGGCGUGCUUAACACAUGCAAGUCGAACGGGUCUGCCCUGUUUUUUGCGGGGUGGGUCAGUGGCGAACGGGUGAGUAACACGUGAGUAACCUGCCCCUCACUUCUGGAUAACCGCUUGAAAGGGUGGCUAAUACGGGGUGUUCUGGCUGUGCCGCAUGGUGUGGCUGGGAAAGAUUCACUUUUGUGGUGUUUUGGUGGGGGAUGGGCUCGCGGCCUAUCAGCUUGUUGGUGGGGUGAUGGCCUGCCAAGGCUUUGACGGGUAGCCGGCCUGAGAGGGUGGGCGGUCACGCUGGGACUGAGAUACGGCCCAGACUCCUGCGGGAGGCAGCAGUGGGGGGUAUUGCACAAUGGGCGGAAGCCUGAUGCAGCGACGUCGCGUGAGGGAUGGAGGCCUUCGGGUUGUGAACCUCUUUCGCCGGUGAAGAAGGUCCUGCUCUUUGUGGUGGGGUUGACGGUAGCCGGGUUAUGAAGCGCCGGCUAACUACGUG
rnacentral:rRNA from 1 species